rnacentral:tmRNA from 1 species
UUGGCUCUCGCGGCUUAAUUGACCGCGACGUCUCUCUUCUCUUUGUCUGCGGGGGGGGAAGAGGCGUCACACUGCAGGCUGGUCCAAAGCUGGUGCUCAGCGGCAGCGGACGAGAACUUUCUGGGCUAGCGGGCGCUCUAAGCCGGUCGGUGGGCGUGGGCAACUGCGAAUUUUAAAUCAUCGGCUACACACGUAGGGCUGUUGUGCUGAAUGUUCUCGGACAGGGGUUCGAUUCCCCUCACCUCCACCA